GACCUGGUGGUGAAUCGCUCAUACCCACUUUACUUGCAUUUCCGUGGAGAUACAGUGGGUGUCCCCGGUUCGAAUCCGGGCCAGGUCA